CAAUCGGCCCUUUUCAGGGCCAUCAAAAUGUUCAAAACGUAGAAAU
rfam:Trichomalopsis sarcophagae strain Alberta scaffold8405, whole genome shotgun sequence.